UGGAGCAUGUGGUUUAAUUCGAAGCAACGCGCAGAACCUUACCAACCCUUGACAUGGGUAUCGCGGGAUCAGAGAUGGUCCUUUCAGUUCGGCUGGAUACCACACAGGUGCUGCAUGGCUGUCGUCAGCUCGUGUCGUGAGAUGUUCGGUUAAGUCCGGCAACGAGCGCAACCCACACUCUUAGUUGCCAGCAUUCAGUUGGGCACUCUAGGAGAACUGCCGGUGAUAAGCCGGAGGAAGGUGUGGAUGACGUCAAGUCCUCAUGGCCCUUACGGGUUGGGCUACACACGUGCUACAAUGGUGGUGACAAUGGGCCAAUCCCAAAAAGCCAUCUCAGUUCGGAUUGGGGUCUGCAACUCGACCCCAUGAAGUCGGAAUCGCUAGUAAUCGCGUAACAGCAUGACG
rnacentral:rRNA from 1 species